GACAGAGGGUGCAAACGUUGUUCGGAAUUACUGGGCGUAAAGCGCGUGUAGGCGGCUUCGCAAGUCGGGUGUGAAAUCCCACGGCUCAACCGUGGAAGUGCAUUCGAAACUGCAAGGCUAGAGUCCUGGAGAGGAAGGUGGAAUGCUUGGUGUAGAGGUGAAAUUCGUAGAUAUCAAGCGGAACACCGGUGGCGAAGGCGACAUCCUGGACCGAUAUUGACGCUGAUGCGCGAAAGCCAGGGGAGCAAACGGG
rnacentral:rRNA from 1 species